AGAGUUGAUCCUGGCUCAGGAUGAACGCUAGCUACAGGCUUAACACAUGCAAGUCGAGGGGCAGCAUGGUCUUAGCUUGCUAAGGCCGAUGGCGACCGGCGCACGGGUGAGUAACACGUAUCCAACCUGCCGUCUACUCUUGGACAGCCUUCUGAAAGGAAGAUUAAUACAAGAUGGCAUCAUGAGUUCACAUGUUCACAUGAUUAAAGGUUUUCCGGUAGACGAUGGGGAUGCGUUCCAUUAGAUAGUAGGCGGGGUAACGGCCCACCUAGUCUUCGAUGGAUAGGGGUUCUGAGAGGAAGGUCCCCCACAUUGGAACUGAGACACGGUCCAAACUCCUACGGGAGGCAGCA
rnacentral:rRNA from 1 species